CAGCAGUUGGUUCCGGUUCGUAAAGGACAAGAUAACGAGGCAUAUCAGUGGAAAAUGUCUUAAAUUGUAGGAACGGAGAUUGCUGUAGAUUGACGCCUUACGGUCAGGAAGGAGUUCCUCCUAUUGAAACGUGCAGGGCUACGUGAAGGCAGGGGAGAUAGACUGUCCAGGGUUCCUGGUGCGAGUGUCCGCUCCAGUCUGGGCAGGCUGUCAGCCAUUUUCAAGUGAGUUCAAGUUGCUAAUGUAGAAAACAAUGUAAAACAGAAUGUACUGUGGUUUUGCACAAAUGUAAGUUGAAUGACUAUUAAGUGGUGUUUUUUUUGUUUUAUUAUAGUACCACUAUUAGGCCACUACUGUUGUCUUUGGUAGAUUUUUUUUUUUUUGUCUCUUAUCUGGGUUUUUAUUUUUUAUUUCCAAAGAAGCCUUGAAUAGGUCUGUGAAGCGGUGUUCAAAGCUAAUUUUCUGAUCCUGACAAAAGAGAAACUGUAGUUUUUGAUUUGAGAUGAACGCACUACUUGAAUGUUUGUUUGUUUUUUAAAUAGUUGUUUGCAACACAUUUACAAAAUGCCAAAUCAAACCAAACUUAAUGCUGUCCCCAUUCUGAGGAUGGUCGGGAAAUAAAACCCACAUUAUAUUUUGGGA